rnacentral:rRNA from 1 species
GACGAGGGGUCCUAGCGUUGUUCGGAAUCACUGGGCGUAAAGCGUAUGUAGGCGGCCUGUUAAGUCAGUUGUGAAAUCCCACGGCUCAACCGUGGAAUUGCAAUUGAAACUGGCGGGCUUGAGUGCAGGAGAGGUUGGUAGAAUACCUGGUGUAGUGGUGAAAUACGUAGAUAUCAGGUGGAAUACCGGUGGCGAAGGCGGCCAACUGGCCUAGCACUGACGCUGAGAUACGAAAGCGUGGGGAGCAAACAGG